CUUGGUUCCUCAUCUUAGUUGAUAUAUACAAAAUGUUUAACAUAUCAAAAAGAACAUCGACCUCAUCAUUUCGUAAUCUGAAAUAGUACAACCAAAAUAUACAAAACUUUACAUAAAAUCUAAACCACAUCAUCUAGUGAAGAUCUUUCAUGGGCUCAGACCAAAAGCCCCAAAUAACAUCACUGAGACACUGAACUCAACCGCGAGCCCUCAUAGUGUCCAAAUCACAGAGUUAUUUCAAUAGAACACGAAAUGAACAAACCACAAGAGCAAUGAUUCACUCACACAGAGAAGAGUCACACAAAGACUUGAUUAUCACAAAGAUAAUUCCAAAUAAUCUCACACAGAGAAGUUGAAAAACACGAAGACAGAAGCCCUUGAAGGUUCCAGAAAGAAGACGACCCCCGGAGAGAAAGAAAAUGACGAUUCAUUUUAGGCAAAGCAAAAGGGUCUAUUUUAAUAAAUAAAAACCAUAAGCCAUUGAUCUAUGGGUCGAUCCAACGGUCAGAGAGCAACAAAAGGGUCUAUUUUAAUCAGUAAAAACCAUACGCCAUUGAUCUAUGGGUCGAUCCAACGGUCAGAGAGCAACAAAAGGGAAUGGGCUGAUUAUUGGGCUCGGUUAAGUGGGCCAUCUAAGUAUCAAGAGUAGUUAAUCUGCUCUUUUCUUAUUGGGUCUGGAUUUUAUCAUCAUCGCCUAUGUUGGAUUGAUCAUUGGCAUCACAGCCCAAUAGAUCUCCACCUUAAUGCCAGUGGUCAUACAAGAAGCCUAAUAAAUGUAAAGCACAAUUUAUAUCUCAUUCCCAAGAAUGCAGCUUCCAAGUACUUCCAACAAGCAUCAAAUUUAGCACCUGUACAGAACCAAAAAAUUUAACCAGUAUCAAUGUUCAAAAUUUGUAAACAAGACUUAAACUUGUUUAAAGGUAUUACCUUAGUCCCUAUAUCAGCUGGAUUAAAUUGAGUUACAAUUUUCUCAAGUAAAAUAAGUUCUUUAGAAAUAACAUCUCUAAUAAAAUGCAACUUAACAUCAAUAUGUUUGGUUCUUUCAUGAAAAAUAGGGUUUUUACAUAGGUGAAUUGCACUUUGACUGUCUGAAUAUAAAACAACAGGGUUACUUAAUUCAUUUAUUUCAGAUAACAAGCCCUUAAGCCAUAAGGCUUCUUUUAUUGCUUCAGUUGCAACAACAUACUCAGUUUCAGCUGUAGAUAAAGCAACAAUAGGUUGUAGUUGAGAUUUACACCUAAUACAUGUAUUACACAAAGUAAACAUAUAAGCAGUAGUAGAUUUCCUAUUGUCUCUAUCUCCGACAAAAUCUGAA
rnacentral:lncRNA from 1 species